rnacentral:rRNA from 1 species
UUAUGGCUCAGGAUGAACGCUAGCUACAGGCUUAACACAUGCAAGUCGAGGGGCAGCAUGACGGAAGCUUGCUUCUGUUGAUGGCGACCGGCGCACGGGUGAGUAACGCGUAUCCAACCUGGCCCUUAGUAGGGGAUAGCCCGGCGAAAGUCGGAUUAAUACCCUAUGUUUUCCAAUGAGGACAUCUGAGCUGGAACAAAGGUUUACCGCUAAGGGAUGGGGAUGCGUCUGAUUAGGUAGUAGGCGGGGUAACGGCCCACCUAGCCGACGAUCAGUAGGGGUUCUGAGAGGAAGGUCCCCCACAUUGGUACUGAGACACGGACCAAACUCCUACGGGAGGCAGCAGUGAGGAAUAUUGGUCAAUGGACGAGAGUCUGAACCAGCCAAGUAGCGUGCAGGAUGACUGCCCUAUGGGUUGUAAACUGCUUUUAUGCGGGAAUAAAGUGAGGCACGUGUGCCUUUUUGUAUGUACCGCAUGAAUAAGGACCGGCUAAUUCCGUGCCAGCCGCAGC